AAAGAGUUCGUAUAUACAAUUUGUCAGUGAAAUUGAAAUGAGUUUAUUGAGAUAAAAUACAAACAAAGGGAUGAGGCAGCUCAAGCUAUCCUCACCCUGAUCAGUACAACAUAUCCAUACAUAUAUAAACACACAUCACAAACAAUAAACAUAUUACCGAACAAUUUGAGAGAUAAACAUAUGCAUUUCCGAGUCAGCGAACGAAUUGUAUUUUAUGUAUGUGUACCGAACCAACAUUAACCCAAAAUGAUUAGGCACGAAUCGACUAGUGUUCAUUAUAGGGCGCCGGAGAGAGAGUGACGCUUGACGUGUGUGUGUGUUCCUUGUAGCUCAAGUCCUCCUGGUGACCUCCACCCGCCUCCAGCACCACCAUUAAUCCCCGUCCUCCUCCAGGCUAACAAAUGUGAGGAGUGAGAGCAGGAGUCGGUGGAAGAGAGGCAGAAUGCUGUGGGGAGAUUGCUAGAGACUGAGAGCCGUGAGUGCAGUUGGCAGUGCAGUUGCUCAAGUGUCCCACAUUUUUCUCCCAAGUGAUAUCUUUAGAAGAAACGGCUAAGUCCAAUGAUGACGGGUGGGUAUGGUUGACCAGUCCAGCAACGAGGAUGUGUGAUCGAGGAUUGGGCCGUAGGGACGUUAAGCCCCGAAACCAUCACAAGGUAACCGCAAGGUAACCGCAAGAAAUGAAUACCAAUGGAAGAUGAUGGACACUGCAUCAAUGCAAAUAAGGGCCUUCCCUGUGAAGGUCCGAGGAGGAACCGGCUCUGAGAAAACUGGGUCUUGAUUCAACUUCACCACUACGCUAUCAACAGUGAAGAAACUCCGGAAAUGCAACAACAACAAUGAAAAUUCCCAGGUGGAGCUACAAAUAAUAAAUUUGGUAAGAAUGACGAAAAAUACUGAAUUUAAAUUAAACAAUAUAGCAAUUUUAAAUAACACAAGUCAUUCAUUUUCCUAAUUCAAAGGCUUUCUUGAAUAUGGAAAGGAAAAGGCAUUUCUUUGAUUAUAAGGCAAUACAAAGACAUGUAAAUUUAGAUGUAAAAAAUCUAACAAGAAAGUCUUUGAAUUAUAUUAAUAAAUGUAGAAUUCCUAGUAUGACAUCAAACAAUUAAAAAUAAUUAAAGGGCAUUGAACCAUACCGAAUAAAAAAAAUUAAAUAAAACACAUACUAGGAUUAAAAUAACCCAUAUAUAAACCAAAUACAGCAGAGGCAUAUGCUGUACAAAAUGUUUGUCUGGCCGUGGGUGUGUGUUACUACACUCUGGAGACUGGCUGCCAGUAUUGGCACAAUAUCCAUGAGGUUGUAACACCACUUUAAGUUCCCUCUUAUGCUCAGCAAAUUAAUGGCACGAGAUUGAAAUGCCUCAAUCGGUAUAAUGUAUACCGUAUCUCUAGUGCCUUUUGGUUUUUGAGCCUUGUCAAUGUGGACUUUGAGUCUGAUACCACCCAGGAACUCUGGAGUGUUACAAAAAAAAAAAAAUUAAAUAAAUGCAAUUGGGGCAAAUGAAAUGUCUUGAAAAGCUAUGAAAGCUAGCCACUUACUUGAAAAUCUGGCCAAUUAAUACAAAGCAAUCUAAAAGGGCAGUUCAGUCACACAAACUUUUUUUAUCUCUGACACGCUUAAGCAACAUUACAUUUCUCUGACUAUAUACCAAAUAACAAAUUAAUAUAAACCAUGGUUUUUAAAGAAUGUUGUAUGAGCAAGUAAUGAUAAAGUAAACAGAUAAAAGGUGUGCAAAUUUAUUCAGGGAAAUUUGAUUGCGCUGUCGACACUCAGAGGGUACACAUCAGAUAGCAGGGAAAAUUGAAAAAUGACAUUACCUGCAAUACCAGUCAUGAAAAUGCAAAGUUUCCUUUUCAUGCAAGUAGUUUCUUUUACAUAGUUACAAAUAUAUCAUGCAAGCUGACGAUGAGUCACAAUAACGUGGCCGAAGAUGUGAAGACUAAACCACACACCACAAGAUGAAGGAACGAAGACGUUUCGGUCCAUCCUGGAUCAUUAUCAAGUCGAUUGUGAUGGGAG
rnacentral:lncRNA from 1 species